rnacentral:rRNA from 1 species
UACGGGGGGAGCAAGCGUUGUUCGGAUUUACUGGGCGUAAAGGGCGCGUAGGCGGUCAGCACAAGUCAGUUGUGAAAUCUCCGGGCUUAACUCGGAAAGGUCAACUGAUACUGUGCGACUAGAGUGCAGAAGGGGCAACUGGAAUUCUCGGUGUAGCGGUGAAAUGCGUAGAUAUCGAGAGGAACACCUGCGGCGAAGGCGGGUUACUGGGCUGACACUGACGCUGAUGCGCGAAAGCUAGGGGAGCGAACGGG